rnacentral:tRNA from 1 species
GCGCCUGUAGCUCAGUUGGAUAGAGCAACGGAUUUCUAAUCCGUCGGUCGGGGGUUCGAUUCCCUCCAGGCGCG